rnacentral:rRNA from 1 species
CGCGGCAGGCCCUAUACAUGCAAGUCUGAGGGGGCAGCAAUGUCACCGGCGCACGGGUGCGUAACACGUAUGCAACCUACCUUCUUCAGGGGUACAGCCUUCCGAAAGGGAGAUUAAUACCGCAUAAGACCACACUGUUUCAUGACAGAGAGGUUAAAGAUUUAUCGGAAGAAGAUGGGCAUGCGUCUGAUUAGUUAGUUGGCGGGGUAACGGCUCACCAAGACGAUGAUCAGUAGGGGACCUGAGAGGGUAAUCCCCCACACUGGCACUGAGAUACGGGCCAGACUCCUACGGGAGGCAGCAGUAGGGAAUAUUGGGCAAUGGGCGCAAGCCUGACCCAGCCAUGCCGCGUGCAGGACGAAGGCGUUAUGCGUUGUAAACUGCUUUUAUACAGGAAGAAAAAGGCCAUGCGUGGCAAACUGACGGUACUGUAUGAAUAAGCACCGGCUAACUCCGUGCCAGCAGCCGCGGUAAUACGGAGGGUGCAAGCGUUGUCCGGAUUUAUUGGGUUUAAAGGGUGCGUAGGCGGCUUUUUAAGUCAGCGGUGAAAGCCGGUCGCUCAACGACCGAACUGCCGUUGAUACUGAUUAGCUUGAGUUUGAUUGAGGCAGCCGGAAUGGAUAGUGUAGCGGUGAAAUGCAUAGAUAUUAUCCAGAACGCCAAUUGCGUAGGCAGGUUGCUAAGUCAUUACUGACGCUGAGGCACGAGAGUGCGGGGAUCAAACAGGAUUAGAUACCCUGGUAGUCCGCACCGUAAACGAUGAUGACUAGCUGUCGGGCUUUCGGGUUCGGUGGCACAGGGAAACCGUUAAGUCAUCCACCUGGGGAGUACGCCGGCAACGGUG